GUCGUAUUGUAAAAUAAUUAUUUAAUUUAAUUUUAUGAAGUUAUUAUUACUAGUAAUUUAUAUAUUGAGUUUUAUGUGCAACUAGUUGAUUUGUAUUUUUCCCAAAAUAAAAACCCAAAACUCCUAUUUCCUUUUAGUCGGUCAAAAAUUGAAAAUAAGAUCCCAAACCCCCUGUUCUUUCUCGUACCUUCCAACCCCAAAGAAAACCCCCAAAACUCGUGAGAACCCAAACCCCCAAAACCCCGUGAAACCCUUAUUGCCCUGCAUCUCUCUAACCCCGUGAUUUCUUCUUCUCUCCUCUCGCCGGAUGUCGUCGUAGUUUUCCGAUCUUGCCGGCGUGUUCCCUAUUAACGGAGUUUCGCUCGUCAUCCUAUGUUUUCGCUAUUCAGUGUUGCCAGGUCUUCGAGGCUCGACGAACGCCACUCGCGACGCCAGACGCGCGACGCACCGAUUGCUUGUUGCCGCUUUACCGGUUCUGCCGCUCGUCGGAAUUCUCUCUCUCCCCUGUUGUCUUGUCGGUGCUGCUACUGUAAGCAUUUCUAAGUCUCUCCUUUCGUUGCUGCUGUAUUGUGGUGGUGGUGCCGUCGUUCUGCUUUGGCGACCGCGAGUCAUAGCUCGCCGGAGCUCCGAUUCUCCGCCUCUGUGUUCUCCGCGCUCAUGGUUGGUGGUGGUGCUGCCACUGGGCAGCCCCUCUUGUCGUAUCUUAAAUGUUUCAGGUUGAAGCCGUGAGUUAUUCUUUUGCAAGUUGAAGCUGAUACGAGAUGAUGCAGUAUUAUAUUUGUUAUUGAAGUGAGGACGCUCCAUUUGUAAUAGUUAAUCGUUUAAUUUCUAUAAUAUAUUUUCUUUAUUUAAGAAUCGCUAGCUAAGUGCUCCUGAUUCUCUGCUGGUUGUUGCUCCGCGAAAGCGUUAAGAUUGUUGAGCUUUGGGAUUUGAAAAUAUUUUAUUUAUUAAAAUUGUAACAGGUUCAUAUUA